rnacentral:misc_RNA from 1 species
UAAUUAUAGCUGGCAUUGAAACACAUCAUCACAGGAUCAUUUUGGUAGAAUGUGCAAGGCAAUGGACUGGGCAAUGAAUUAAGGGUGAGAAAACCAUAUCAAGUAAAUACUGGGUCUAAACGCUGCGGCAAACAUGAUAGAACAUCCACGGGAACAAGCUAGUUCUGUGUACUUGUGAGCAUUUCCAAGUUUUUCUAAAAAUUUACUCCAGUACAUGUCGAG